GUGGAUUAGAUACCCUGGUAGUCCAUGCCGUAAACGAUGCUAGCUGGGUGUUCAGUGGGGGAAACCCCACGGGGUACCGAAGUCAACACGGUAAGCUAGCCGCCUGGGGAGUACGGUCGCAAGAUUAAAACUCAAAGGAAUUGACGGGGGCCCGCACAAGCAGCGGAGCGUGUGGUUUAAUUCGAGGCUACACGAAGAACCUUACCUGGGUUUGACAUACAAGUAGUAGUGAAGCGAAAGCGGAACGACCUUCGGGAGCUUGAACAGGUGCUGCAUGGCCGUCGACAACU
rnacentral:rRNA from 1 species